rnacentral:rRNA from 1 species
AGCUACGCGUUAAGUCGACCGCCUGGGGAGUACGGCCGCAAGGUUAAAACUCAAAUGAAUUGACGGGGGCCCGCACAAGCGGUGGAGCAUGUGGUUUAAUUCGAUGCAACGCGAAGAACCUUACCUGGCCUUGACAUCCAGAGAACUUAGCAGAGAUGCUUUGGUGCCUUCGGGAACUCUGAGACAGGUGCUGCAUGGCUGUCGUCAGCUCGUGUUGUGAAAUGUUGGGUUAAGUCCCGCAACGAGCGCAACCCUUAUCCUUUGUUGCCAGCGGUUCGGCCGGGAACUCAAAGGAGACUGCCGGUGAUAAACCGGAGGAAGGUGGGGAUGACGUCAAGUCAUCAUGGCCCUUACGGCCAGGGCUACACACGUGCUACAAUGGCGCAUACAAAGAGAAGCGACCUCGCGAGAGCAAGCGGACCUCAUAAAGUGCGUCGUAGUCCGGAUUGGAGUCUGCAACUCGACUCCAUGAAGUCGGAAUCGCUAGUAAUCGUAGAUCAGAAUGCUACGGUGAAUACGUUCCCGGGCCUUGUACACACCGCCCGUCACACCAUGGGAGUGGGUUGCAAAAGAAGUAGGUAGCUUAACCUCCGGGAGGGCGCUUACCACUUUGUGAUUCAUGACUGGGGUGAAGUCGUAACAAGGUAACCAAGGGCGAAUUCUG